rnacentral:sRNA from 1 species
ACUCAGACUAUUCAAGGAUCCGAUAAUGUUCCAACGAGAAAUGUUAUUCAAUCCAAAGAUCUCAUUGUUGCAACACCUCAGAUGAUUGUGUUAGUUUAUUAAUUAUCAAUAUUUCCCAAAUUAAUAGUUUAAUUUCAGAAAUCUUUGCAAUGAGCACCGAGACCCACUUGACGAUGAAUAUCCACCAGAGCAGUUCUUCCUGUCAACUUUCACAAUUAUUUUCUUCGAUGAGUGCCAUAAUACCGUCAAAAAUUCCCCAUAUUCAAGUAGGUCUCAAAAUAAUUCUUCUUUUAUUUAUUUUUUCCUUUCAGAUGUAAUGCGAGAAUACCACUACCUAAAGAAUAUGGGAAACAUGCCAGAAGGACACAGUUUUCCACAAAUCAUUGGUCUGACAGCAUCUCUUGGAACUGGCGACAAAAAGAAUUGCAUGCAAGUCAGGAGUUAUAUUGCUGGUCUCUGUGCAAAUAUGGACGUCAAGGAGCUAAGCAUUGUUAAAGAUAAUUUGGAAGAGCUGUUGGAUCACAAUCCGUUUGUCACGGAUCGUAAGCUAUUUUCUUUUCAUAUCUUUUGAAAAGUCUAGUUUUCUUCACAACAUUACAAUUUGGAUAGUAUAGUAGCAUUCGUUCGAGAGUUUUCUAAUAUUUUUUUUUUCAUUACAGAGGUCUCAUUUUGCGAAAGAAGCAAUGAUGGCCCGAUUGAAAUGUUCACGAAGAGGCUCAAACAGAUGAUGCAAGAAGUGGAAGAUCUCAUCAGAACAACAUUAAGUACGAAUUUAAUGAAAAUAGAGAGAAUUUGUCUUAUUUUCAGAAAACGAACCUACCGUAAAGUAUGAAAUCCCACCGACUGAUAAGGAGCAUAAUCGUUAUGAAAACUGGAUUUCCAAUCAGAGAAAUUGUGUCUCGCUGGCGGGUUCCAGGAACAAAACGCUCAUCAUUGAGGUGUUGGAUGUGUUGAAGGUACAGUACAUGUUCUCUCAAAUGAAGAUUUUCUGGAAUUAUUUUAGAAAAUAUCGUUUCGGUUUUAAAAGAAUAUUUCAAUUUCAGGACUGUUUCUAUGCCUUGUCAUACAACAUUAAUUUCAAUCCCGAAGUUGCAUUGAAGAAGUAUUUGGAAAAGGAAUUGGGUCCCGAAAGGAUACGAAAUUUCACCGACAACAUGAAUUUAAUAUGGGACAGUGAGUUUCACGAAUUCAGCUAGAAAAUAAAUAUAUGAAUUUUAAAGAUUGUCAUCGCGAAUUGGUUGGAAUUGGUUCAGCGGAAAAUCCAAUGAUUGCUAGAACUGUGCAGUUUAUUUUAGACCAAAAUGAGCAAACAUCCGACUUUCGUGCCAUCAUUUUUGUACGAACAAAAAAGGAAGCAGACUUUCUCAAUUAUGUUUUGAAUGAUCGAUUGCAUGAGCUUGGAAUCAAAUCUGAUUGGAUGUCCGGUACAGUUUUCCAAAAUGUUGUAGAUAAAUAAUAAAAAAACUGAUUUUGAAUUUCUUAAUCAAGUUUUUACGGGCUUUUUUACAGGACAGAAAAAGUCGACUGCGAGCAGCGCCGAUAUCUCAGCAUCGAAACAAAAACAAAUGGAAAAGUUGAAAAUGUUUGCUGAUGGAGAAAAUCAAAUUCUCGUCUCAACCUCUGUUGCUGAAGAAGGAUUAGAUAUUCCAGAAUGCAGUCUUGUCAUCAAAUAUAACUAUGCAACAAAUGAAACUGCUCACGUUCAACGAAGAGGACGAGCAAGAGCUCGAAACUCAAAAUGUGUGCUCAUCACAAAUAGCAUUGCACUUCAUGUCCAGGAAAGCAAUAAUCUAGCAAAAGUGAGUAAUUAAUGUGCAUAUAUAAAUUGUUUUAACAUUUCAAUCUCUUUUUAGGAAAAUCUAAUGACCGAAACGAUCUCCCUAAUCCAAAAUUCGCCAGGAGAAUUCCGACAAUGUGUAGAUGAGGAAAGCAAUAAAGUCUGGCCUCGAAUCCAGAGAGAAGAUACCGAUAAAGCACAAAGAAUUAAAGAGCAAAUUAAUCGGAAUAUUGUGUACAAGAUCGUUUGUAUGAAAUGUGAUACAGUUUUGUGCACGAAUAAGGAUAUUCGAUCAAAAAACACGCAAUACAUUGUGUGUAAUCCCGGAUUUUGGAGUCUCGUUCGAAGAAUUCCCUUGCCACUUGAACAAAGGGCAUCAAAUAAAUUUAAUUCAACUGGAUCGGUGAGAGUCAAAGAGAUUCGUAAAAAAGAUUUUAUAAUAUAUGCAUCUAAACUUAUUUAGAUUGAAUGUCUUGGCGAGAGGUGUGGUUCGAAACUUGGACAGUUGAUCGACGUGAAUACAGUGAAUCUCCCGUGUCUGAAAGUAAAAUGUUGGUUUUUUUCUCAUUUCAAAAUAGAAAAAUGUCCCACGACAUCACAUCAUCCAAGAUUGGGCCGUUAUUUGCAGUCCGGAGAUUAGAACAUUUUAUAGCUCUAUAGAUUAUUAAAAAGUGAGAGUGAGCCCCAAUCUAGGAUGUAUAAUAAUAAAUGUAAAAAUUGAGUUAUUUUCAGCUAUCCUGCUACUGAUUGAAAGUACCAAUGAACGGAUCCUCGUUAAACAAUGGAAAAAUGUAUGUUUAACGAUCAAAAUAUACAAGAUUCGGUACAAGUUUUUUUUCAGAUUCUGGAUGAACAUUUCACACCGACCACACUAAAGCAGCGAGAUGUUCAAACAAUGAAAGACGCGGAUUAUGGUCGAGCACCAAUCGAAUUUGAGCAUCAUACAGCUAAUGGAGAAGUAAUCAAUGUAAUUAGACAAGCAUAACUUGAGGCAUUCCAAUUUAAUUUAGUAUUUGAUAAUUUCUACGAGGGUCUUGUUUUAAUGCUUUAUUUCAUUCUUUCCGAUUUCAUAUCAAACUCUCAAAAUAAGACAUUCCGCAAUUGCAAUUGUACUAUUAUUGUAAAUUACUCAUUUUAUAAAUAAAUAUUUUUCUAUUUUGAAUGUAAAUUCGACCAUCUUUCUUGUUUCGAUUUUUCCUUUUAAUUGCGGUUUAUUCCAAUUUAAUUAAUAUGCUAAAUACCGUUUUUCCUGUGUAUUUUUGGUUUUUUGUGUGUUUUUUCUCGGCAAAAUUCUUAAAAUGAGUUUCUCUGCUUUAUUUUGAAUUUUGGAAAAGUUAAUAUUUUCUUUUGUCGACAGCUCUGGUGAGAGAGUGCGGUUCCAGUGUAUUAGUAGAGAGACGCAGACGUGCACUCAGCUGUCAGCAAGCGUGCUCAGUUGAACGAACACUGUAUUUCUUGUUUUUUCUCGAAUUAAAUCUAAAUGUUUUUCAGAAAUAAUGUUUCUUUGAGCCCGUUUCUCUUAGUUUUUCUCAAAAAUCUAAAUUUGCAGAUAAAAUGAGGAAAAAGCAGUGUUCUUCAAUAUUAUCCCUCUACGACAAAGAGAUCAUACUCUGCCUCGAGCCGAUCUACCGUGAUCCGGAAAAAGUGAGCUGGAAAUGCAUUUUCUGCCACGCUUCAAUCGUUUUUUUUUCAGGGUGAUGGAUUUUCCGAGCUGCUCCCGCUAGGAAGGAUCGACGAAUUGAAAAUUCAAUCUGAAAAUGCGCAGGAAUUCUCGAAGCAACUGUAUCACGAUCUGAAAAACAGUAUAUUGUCAAACGCUGAUGAUGAGCGGCUUUACAAAGAUAUUAUGACAUAUCUGCAAACUUAUCGUAUGUGAUGGAACUAUUUAAAAAUAAUAAUUAUAAGUUUUCAGUUCCAAAAUGCACGGUGCAUAAGCUUCUUAACUGUUCGAACAGAGAAGUGAAAUUGAGCGAUUUUCAGUUUGUGAACAAAUGUUUUAUUCAAAGUUGAAUUAAAAUCUUAUUUUCAGCUACAUUCUCGAUCACUUCGAAGGUUUCCUACGCUUCAUUGAACCAAAAGUGGUUCUGGCUUAUCUGGACUCGUACCCUCAAUACAUCGACGCCGUUGCAGUUCUGAGAAAAGAAAUAGAGCGCAACGAAGAAGACAAUCAAGACUCGGAUUUCAUAAAGAAGCUAAUUCUUCGAACUGUGCCUCUGCUCGGAGAGCAAGCGGUAUACGAUAUAAUGUAUACAAUUUCGGAGAAAAGUUCAAAUAACCUCGAUGUCGAGGCGAAGCAAUUUAUCGCCAAAGUUUUGCGAUUGAAAAACGAUGGAUUCCUCAGGUUUUACCGUACGCAUCUAUUAUCAAUAGAUAAUUGUGAAAAUUACAUAAUUUUAUCGUGUUAUAGAAAUCAUCAAUGCAAGUAGAAGACAGUUGAAUGGAAGAAUAUACAUUUGUCCAGUACAUGAAUCCGCUACGGAAAUGAUGGUCUAUUUAGGAACUGCGGCUUUGAAUACUAACCGAUACAGGUGAAUUUUAAUUGAUAAAAUACAAUUGCGCUACUGUUUUGGAAGAAUACUAAUUUUUAUCGAAAAUUGGAGAUACGACUGAAAAUGUAUACAAUUUUCAUUCGUAUCAAUUGUUAGUAUGCUAUCUAGAAUCACUAUGAUAAAUUCCGGCAGAAAAACACCCGCCACACGCAUUGCUAACUCUUAAAUGUACGGGAAUGUUUGUUGAGAGGCGCAGAAAGUGCAGCAGUGCCAAUUUAUAUAUCUUUCUCAUUUUAAACAUCUUUGAGCAUUUUUUUCACAUAAAUCUAGUGUUAUCGAGUAUUCAUUCUUAAUAACUAAUUUUUCAGAAUGAUCAAUAUUCGUGUCGACAACAUUGUACAAGAAAAUUCAACUCCUCGUCUUGUAAUUGAAUCUGUUCGUCAACGAAUUCAUCGGCGUAAGUUUCCAUCCUAAAUUUGCCUGGAAAUAUAAUUAAACUGCGUUAUCUUCCAGAAAGACAGUUAUGCCUUCGAAAUUACCAAGAGGAACUCUGCCAGGUGGCUCUUCAAGGCAAAAAUACAAUUGUUACUGCUCCAACUGGCUCUGGAAAAACUGUAAUCGCUGCGAAUAUUAUCAAAGAACAUUUUGAGUCGAGGUCAAGUGAAGGAAAACGAUUUAAGGUUGCUUUUCGCUAUUUUAAAGUUUAAAAUUCGAAUCUUCAGGCUCUCUUCAUGACACCGAACUCGAUGAUUCUGAAUCAACAGGCGGCUAGCAUUUCAUCAUAUUUGGAUCAUGUUUAUCAUG